UGUCCGAGCCGUGGCUGAUAGGAGCUGCAGUACAGGCAUUAGCAAGUACAGUCGAUCCCUUGAGCCACAGCCUUACGUAUUAAUUUAGCUUGGACGGGUAGCACAAGGAGAGUUACUAAGAAAUUCGAGCGACUAUGGAAAUAACUGUCAGAGAUCUGUAUUCUCCUCUGGCAGCUAUCGUUAUUGGCUCGCAGUUCUAGUUCUCUGUCAGUUAUCGGGCUACCACCACAGAUAACCUGGAAGUUGGUAAUGGAAUAACUGUGUGUCUAGAUGUUCCUGACUCAGUGACUCCAGUUAAAGGUCGUAGAUCUCGGUGAUAUUUCCAGAGAGGAUAGUAACUGGAGCGAACAAAUAUUUUCGUACUGCUACGGAAAUGACGAUUGGCCAUCGGGGAGAGGGGAAUCUAUUGUCUCAUUUCUCUGCAAAUCUUGGUGUUCAGGUGUCACUCUCUUUUCGGCCUUUGGUUGCGUUAGAGGGUAUUGACUUCCGUUCUCGUUCUUGUUUUUCUUUGUGUUGUUGCUAUUGCAAACCAAUAGUUGCCAACAUGAAGAGGUCGAGGACAAGCGAAAUGUGGUCAUAUUUCGAAACUCUUGAUCGAGAGUUUGCGAAAUGUACUUAGUACGGUAAGAAAUUAUCGUACAAAUCGACGACGUCGAAUUUAAAAAAAAACAUAUUCAGAAAUCACAUUUAAUUGUGAAUUUCUCUUUACAAAGGCCUUCGGAGCUAGAUUUGGGAUUAAAGAAGAAACAUGAAGCUAUAGUCAUUACUAAAACUGAGUCAAUUGUCAACUUGUAUGAAGUAAAUAUUCAAUCUGCAAGUAUCAUGAAGACUACUUUACGCGAACAUUGUAAUAUAUAUCAUCAAAAAUAAUAUGGCAUCAUUUCUGUUGUGCUUAUGCUGAUAUGAAACCUAUUUUUCUGUAGGUGAAACCCUUCCUGUAGAGGUGAUCCUUGGCACCAGCAGUGUGGAAGAGGAGCGAGCUGCUCCAGCCCCCUCAAUGCAGCAAGGUGUUCAAAGUUCUAUGACAUUGUAUCUUACCAAAAGGAUUGGAGUGAAUCAGAAAAAGAUAGAUGGGCAACUUCAGCUGUUCACUAAAGACUUCCAACCAUUUUCAGUCGUUGAAGAUUCGGGGUUUUGUGCGGGCCCUUAAUCCUGGUUAUGAGUUACCAAGCAGGAAGCAUAUUUCAGAUGUAAUGCUGCAAGCAGCAUACACAGCAGCAAAGGAGAAAGUGGUAGACAAACUGUCAGCUGCGAAGACAGUUUGUUUGACCACAGAUUGCUGGACAUCGGCAGCAAAUGAGUUAAAUGGUGGUGACAGGG